GCUGGUUAGCGCUGUCCGCCGCCAGUAGCUCAAGUAGGUCAAAAUGGACAAAAUGCGGAAAUUAAUUGCUGAUUAGUGCUGCCCAUGGCCAGUAGCUCAAGUAGGUCAAAAUGGACAAAAUGCUGACUAAAACUAGGAGCCAUCGCAGGUAAUGCUAUCGAAACUAUAAUGCCAUAAAUCUUUGCAACUGAAGAUCAAAUUAAGAAAUGUUUCUUCUGAGCUCAAAGCAAUAAAGUACCAAAGCGCUGACGACUGACAAAGUACUAUUGAAAGGAAGACAGCUAACAAAAGUAGAAAUAAUGUCAAAUGUUCUGAAUACAGAUAAGAAUGUAA
rnacentral:lncRNA from 1 species